ACGCUGGCGGCGUGCCUAACACAUGCAAGUCGAACGAAGCUCCUGAUCUGAUCUUCGGAUGAAGAGAGGGAAGACUUAGUGGCGGACGGGUGAGUAACGCGUGAGCAACCUGCCUUUCAGAGGGGGAUAACAGUUGGAAACGACUGCUAAUACCGCAUAACAUAUUGUUGACGCAUGGCAAUGAUAUCAAAGCUGAGGCGCUGAGAGAUGGGCUCGCGUCCGAUUAGAUAGUUGGUGGGGUAACGGCCUACCAAGUCGACGAUCGGUAGCCGGACUGAGAGGUUGAACGGCCACAUUGGGACUGAGACACGGCCCAGACUCCUACGGGAGGCAGCAGUGGGGGAUAUUGCACAAUGGGCGAAAGCCUGAAUGCAGCAACGCCGCGUGAGGGAAGACGGUUUUCGGAUUGUAAACCUCUGUCUUUGGUGAAGAAGGAAGUGACGGUAACCAAGGAGGAAGCCACGGCUAACUACGUGCCAGCAGCAGC
rnacentral:rRNA from 1 species